UACGUAGGGUGCAAGCGUUUGUCCGGAAUUAUUGGGCGUAAAGAGCUCGUAGGCGGUCUGUUGCGUCGGCUGUGAAAAUCCGGGGCUCAACUCCGGGCCUGCAGCCGAUACGGGCAGACUAGAGUUCGGCAGGGGAGACUGGAAUUCCUGGUGUAGCGGUGAAAUGCGCAGAUAUCAGGAGGAACACCGGUGGCGAAGGCGGGUCUCUGGGCCGAUACUGACGCUGAGGAGCGAAAGCGUGGGGAGCAAACAGG
rnacentral:rRNA from 1 species